UACGUAGGGUGCGAGCGUUAAUCGGAAUUACUGGGCGUAAAGCGUGCGCAGGCGGUUCGUUGUGUCGGUGGUGAAAGCCCCGGGCUCAACCUGGGAAUGGCCAUGGAAACUGUCGAACUGGAGUGUGGCAGAGGGGGGUGGAAUUCCGCGUGUAGCAGUGAAAUGCGUAGAGAUGCGGAGGAACACCGAUGGCGAAGGCAGCCCCCUGGGCUAGCACUGACGCUCAGGCACGAAAGCGUGGGGAGCAAACAGG
rnacentral:rRNA from 1 species